GACAAGCAUGCUGUAUAAUAUAAAAAGUGAAAGCCCAAAAAAGGAUUUAAAAGGGUGUUUACAGUCUUAUUAAAGUUCAGUCCUGACACCACUGCAGGAAGGCAAAAUCUUAAAAGUACAUACUGCACUUUAGAAAUCAUAGAGCUGCCUCUGAGUGAAGGAGGGAUGGGGACCACUGGAGGGCAGCAGGAAGGGAAGAUAAAGAUGCAAGGGAGGUGCAGGUCCAUGGGAAGAAAGGAGACAAGAGGACGGUGAGGUGCUGGCUCAGGCUCCUGAGGACCCUGAUGCAUGUGAUUCCUGAAGAGUCAGGACAAGGCACCUGACGCCUUGCCACUGCCUCCAUGACUGUGAAGAACACAGUCUUAACCCUCAUGACUGUGAAGAACAAGGAUGCGGCCAGGAGGAAUUCACCCUGUGAAUAGUGUUUGUAAUGGAAAAUAAAAUACAAAUUUUAAAACCUCUGUAGCGCUACUUCCGUAGGAAUUUCUUUUGUGUGUGGAUGUCAGGGUGCCCACGGCCCAGCUGUUGGUGCUAUGCUCCACUUUGUGAGCAAAGCCAAUGCUGGACCCACAGCCAGCUAACCCGGGGACCUGCUGGAGUAGGGGCCAGUGUUCAUAAACUGCUGGGAAGUGCCCCCAGCACAAUAAUGCUCUUCUGGGGGUUCAAAAUGGGGGAAGGGUAUCCUCCCCUAAGUCAAAAGAAUAAGAAAGGGGUAGCGGUCAGCCACCCUGGAGCCAAAGUGAGGCCCAUGGUGCGCUGGGGGAGGAGGGAGCCUCGUGCUCACACCGGUCCUGCAGGCACCACUCAACUCUAGCAUCAGAGUCCUGGGUUCAAUCCCCAGCUCCACCAGCAACUGGCUGGCAAGCCUGAGUAAGCACUGCAUCUCUCCAGGCCUUCUGCACUCCUCUAGGACAAGAAGGUGACAAGGGGCACAUCUUGUAAGAUUGUUAGAAGAAUUUCAAAAGGCAGUGUGUAUCAACUGCUUAUUUUAAAGUCCCUGAUACAUACACAGGCACCAAGUGCUCAGGGAAAAGUUGGCUAUUAACAUGAGCUUUCUGGCCUCCACCGGAGAUGCCGACUCUUUGGUCUCGGCUUCUUUUCUUUUGCAGAUCCGUUCCUCCAUGUGAGUGGUCCUGUCUUGCCCACCCCAGGAAUGGGCACCUGACGAACCUGGACAAUUAUUAACACAUCCUUCCCCCGCAGUGUAGCUGUGGGUUGGGGGGCACGUGACCCCCUUCAGCAAUGCUCCUGUCUCUGGAAUUACUCUCUGUCUGGUGAUGUUGCAGGAUUAUCUCUGUCUCCUCCCUAGAAGGAUUCUGCCUAAGAAUGAAGUCGAUGAAGGGAAGUAAGAACUGAGAGAUGGAAGGAGAGAUCUGGAAGGCCCCCUAGAGCCCCAGGUUCUAGCUAUGUGAGAAGCCA
rnacentral:lncRNA from 1 species